AUUGAACGCUGGCGGCAUGCCUUACACAUGCAAGUCGAACGGUAACAGGUUAAGCUGACGAGUGGCGAACGGGUGAGUAAUGUAUCGGAACGUGCCCAGUCGUGGGGGAUAACUGCUCGAAAGAGCAGCUAAUACCGCAUACGACCUGAGGGUGAAAGCGGGGGAUCGCAAGACCUCGCGCGAUUGGAGCGGCCGAUAUCCGAUUAGGUAGUUGGUGAGGUAAAGGCUCACCAAGCCGACGAUCUGUAGCUGGUCUGAGAGGACGACCAGCCACACUGGGACUGAGACACGGCCCAGACUCCUACGGGAGGCAGCAGUGGGGAAUUUUGGACAAUGGGCGCAAGCCUGAUCCAGCCAUGCCGCGUGCGGGAAGAAGGCCUUCGGGUUGUAAACCGCUUUUGUCAGGGAAGAAAAGGUUCUGGCUAAUACCUGGGACUCAUGACGGUACCUGAAGAAUAAGCACCGGCUAACUACGUG
rnacentral:rRNA from 1 species